UUAUAAAACAGCCGUCAUACCUAAGUUUGAAGCAAUAUCAAGAGCUCCGCAAAAAACAAGAUGUUCCAAACAAUGAGGCACUCCGUCAUUGCUAUUAGCUUCAGUUGCUAAAAUUUUCGAACUAAAAUCAUUAAAAAUGGCAUAAAAUAAUCACAUUAUUGUGAUUAUUUGUUAUUAUUAUACUAAUCAAUACUUUAAAAUAUAGUAAAAUAUAUAAUUAUUAUAAUUGCUAUGUUCAAGAUUCUUUAAUUUAAAUCAAAUAAAUAUAGUAAAAUAUAUAAUUAUUAUGAUUGAUAUAUUCAAGAUUCGUUAACUCAUUUUUUAAAAAAUUUAACAAACUAACCUCAAAGUUGAUGUCGUCAGCGUUUAUUGAAUACUUCAAUGAAUAAUUGAUGCCAAAAAUUUUUGAUUUCUCCCUUCAGUCUAUUUAACAUACGUAUCUGAACAAAGAAAUUAAUUUCAUUUUUUUUAUAUUUAAAUAAUUUUAAAAGUACAUUUUUUAAUAAAUAGAUGUUUGGAAUAUUAAAAUUUUGACACCCAUAAGUACAAUAAUUUAUAAAAAGAACGACUUAAAAUUUGUUAAUAUACAUAAUAUAUUUAAUAUUAAAAUAUCCCGAUUCAUUAUUUUUUUACCGGAGUUAAUUUUACAUAAAUCAAACAACAAUAUUACUACUUAUAAAUUGUAUUAAACAAUAACUCUAUUACUAACCUUUUGGAUUCGAUUUUUAAAUUCAAUUCCUUGUGAAUUUAAUUCAAAACUUCCUUAUAAAUGAUGCAGAAUCAUUACAUCAGUCAUAAUUUAUGUAGAUUUUCCUCAAUAUGUUGCCGGAAUUCACAUCUAUGAUUUUCAAUAAUGGAUUUAAUUUUUUACAGAUCAAAAUUUUCAACUGAAUUAUAUUCCGCCAGUGCUUCUUCAACCCUGUAUUGAUUUAAAGAUAAGGAGUGCGAUGCCGGCCUUUUUGUUUUGAUCAUACCUAGCUUCAACUUAAUAAUCACUAAUUCCGUUUUUAUUUUAUUCAAAACUCUCUGAGAAAAUUUUUAAUACAAAACUGUUUUAUAUCUUAUAAUUUACUCAAAUUAAUCUUCUCUUAAAUAAAAAAGAUUUAGCGACUUUUGUUGCGUUUGAAGCCAGAUAUGGCCAAAAUGGGUAAUGAAAAUUGCUUUUUCGUUUAAAUUAAAUACCUUUUAUUGAUUAAUCUAAGUUUAUCAUCUUCAUUAAUUUUUCCAUAAUAAGAUGAACUUCCGCUAACAUAACUUGAUACCUUACAAGAUGAAACAUCAUAGAACUUAGCAAUAACUUCACAAUGAUAUUGCUCAAUAAAUUCCAUGGAAAUUGAAGAACAAAUAUUGGUUUCCACAAAAUAUUUAUAUAAUGGCGAUCCAUAAAUAUUGCAUAGAUAAUCCAUCAGUACUGGGAAAGCAAUAUUCUUAUAUAAAUCAUUGUUCCUUCCUCCAACCCAACUAAUUUCGACAAAUCCUUUAAUUUAUUUUAAAUAAUAUAUUAAACUUAAUAUAAAAAAUAUAAACUUAUAAUCAUAUUAAAUAAAAAAAGUUUAAAAACUUAAAUUAAAUUAUAUCAUUAAAACUUAAAAUUUGUAUUGAUCAAUUAUUAUCAAUCAAUAUCUUAAUCUAUUAAUCUUUUAUAAAUGAAUAUAAUUACCAAUGGAAUUAUCAUCUGCUGGAACAGAUUCCUCAUGAACACGCUUUACAAUGUUAGGAACAGCAUAAUUUGAAAAUGGUCGUAAAAAUUUUUGCGGGGUUCUUUUAAUAUAUUUUUGCUCAAUUUUUGUAAACACAUCUAACACUUCAGCAUGUUGAAUAUUUCCAGUUAUAAUGAUAACCUAUACAAUAAACACAAUCAUUAUAAAUUAUUGUCAAUUGAAUGACAUGAUACAAAUCAAUAAAAAUUAAUAUUUUAUAGUAUAAGUAAUUAUAAAUUAUAUUAGUAUUUUGAUUAUUAUUUUCCAGAUAAUUACUUAUAAAUAUAGAUGACAAAGUAUAAAAUUAUUUGAUUAUUAUUUUCCAAAAAUUAUUUAAAAUAAUGACUGUAAAAGUAUAACAUAGAUUAUUAUUAAAAUUAUUACUUUUUAGCUCAUUAGACCCCAUAAAAGGUGUUGGUUGAAAUUAUUACUUUUUAGCUCAUUAGACCCCAUAAAAGGUGUUGGUUGAUACAGACAGCAGGACGGUGGCCAUGGAAGUCGGAAUCCGCUAAGGAGUGUGUAACAACUCACCUGCCGAAUCAACUAGCCCUGAAAAUGGAUGGCGCUGGAGCGGGCCACCUAUACUCUGCCGUCAUAUGCUUGUAUUUUUGAGUCUUGCAAUGACGUGUAAGAGGGUCGUAGUGGUUGUGUUGAAGGCUUUGGGUGUGCACCCAGCUGGAGCUUCCACUAGUGCAGAUCUUGGUGGUAGUAGCAAAUAUUCAAGUGAGAUCCUUGAAGACUGAAGUGGAGAAGGGUUCCACGUGAACAGCAGUUGAAUGUGGGUCAGUCGAUCCUAAGGCACCGGCUAAAGCCGUCUAGACACUGCGGGGAGAUGAGAUACUUAACGGUAUUUGUCCACCGGUUGCCGAAAGGGAAGUGGGUUAAUAUUCCCACACCAGGCAUGGGAGAUGGUGAUCCGCAAGGAUUACUUUGCGCGGUGACGCAAACGAACUCGCAGACCUCGUGUGGAGUCCGGGCCAGAGUUCUCUUUUCUGGUUUAGAGAUCAUGUCCCUGGAAGUGGCUCAGCCUGAGAUAGGGAUGCUGGUCUCGUAAAGCGCAGCGGUUCCUGUUGUGUCCCGUGUGCUCCACAUGAGCCGUGAAAAUGCGAGGGAGGCAAUUUAAAAUCUCCUGCCUGAUCGUACCCAUAUCCGCAGCAGGUCUCCAAGGUGAACAGCCUCUAGUCGAUAGAAUAAUGUAGGUAAGGGAAGUCGGCAAAUUAGAUUCGUAACUUCGGGAAAAGAAUUGGCUCUAAAGGUUGGGUCAUAUCGGGCUGUUGUGUGAAACAGGUGGACUUUGCUCGUGGCUGCUUGCGCUUCCUUUCGGGGCGGCGCUUGUGGACUAGUAGUGAGGACUGCUUGUGGAGCGCUUCAGCUGCGUGCUAUUUCGCAAGAUAUAGUACUUCGAUUGGCGCUGAACAACCAGUUUAGAACUGGCACGAACUCCGGGAAUCCGACUGUCUAAUUAAAACAGAGGAGACGGAUGGUCCUUGCAGGACGUUGACCGUGUCUGAUUUCUGCCCAGUGCUCUGAAUGUUAAGCCAAGGAAACUUGAUUAAGCGCGGGUAAACGGCGGGAGUAACUAUGACUCUCUUAAGGUAGCCAAAUGCCUCGUCGGCUAACUACCGACGCGCACGAAUGGAUCAACGAGAUUCCCACUGUCCCUAUCUACUAUCUAGCGAAACCACAGCCAAGGGAAUGGGCUUGGCAAAUUUAGCGGGGAAAGAAUGGCCCUGUUGAGCUUGACUCUAGAUUGACUUUUUGAAGAAUCAUGAAAGGAUAGUUAAUUUUAAGCGUUUCUUAUAACUUUAUCGUACUAUUCUGUCAAUUUUAUUAGGGUUGAUGUUUUCGAAUAAUCUAAAAUACCGUAUUUACUUGAUUAAUUCCACUGAGGAAUUAUUUCUUUACCCAUCCGUGGCAUGGGGAAUUAUAGGGUGGGGAAUUAUUCGAGUUUUAAAAUUUGAACGUGUAUUAGGGUAUUCGAGGGUGGGGAAUUAUUAUUUCAAAUUAUCCCUGGCAUGUGGAAUUAAUUGAAAGUUGGGAAUUAUUCGAGGGUGGGGAAUUAAUCGAUAAAAUAGGUAAUUCCAAUUUACUAAGUUGUUAUUUAUUUUUGGGAAUAUCGAAAUUCAAGGGAAAAACGUUUUCAUAGAAGAGAUGAACGUGUGCUUAAAAGGAUCAAUGUGUUUAUUUACAUUUAUUUAUGGUUUAACAUUUAACAUUAAAUUUUUUGGAUUUUCAGAAUGAUACAAGGGUUGAACUGUUUAUUUGUUUACAGAUAGAAGAGUAAAAGAAUUUGAGAAUUUGAAUAAAAUCCGACUGUUGGAGCAUAAUGAAAUAGAAAAAAAUUAGGGUGUCUUAUAUAAUAAUUUCCAUUUUUAAACUUCACUUUCUAUUUUUUAUUGAAAACAUUGAAACUCUCUAUUACACAUUUUUAUUAUUUAUUUGUUAAAAAAUUUAAAAAUUUUUUGAAAUUUUUUAAAUUCUAUUUUGCUUUGAUUUUCUUCUUUUUUUAAUUUCUUUGUUAAUUCAAAUUAUCAUUUUGUUAGACUUUUAAUAUCUGCCCAAAUAUUAUUAAGGAGGAGGACAACACCAAGAGGAGCCUCUCCCACUCACAAUAAUACAGUGUGUUAAGAAAUUAUAACCCCCCUUGAAUUUUUUGAGUUUCUAUAUCUUCCCGUUGUCGGAUUGUUCUGAAAUUUUUGUAGUAAUGUUGUGAUGUAAAUUAAAUAAUAUUUGCAAAAUAUCUUUAAAAAUUUCUGAUCUCAGAAUUUUUUUUCGACGUUUUUCCAAAAAAUUAGUGUUAAUAAAUUAUAACCCCCCUUUAAAAAAUUUUUUGUUUAACGGUCAAAAAAUCCACAAAAAUUUUUCUGAACAUAUCUAUCAAUAUAGAUAAGAAAUAAAAAAGAAAUGAAGUUCUGAUGUAUUCCCAUCAUCGAGAUCUCGAAAUCCAAAAAUCAACUUAAAACGGGGGUAAAGGUCUUUAAAAAAUAUUUUCGACCCCUUACGGGUGAAAUAAAAAUUUUAUUUUGAGCUUAUCUGAAAGCCCUUAAAAUUUGCUACAAGAUAUUUUUUAUCUUAUUAAACAGAAAAAAAUUCACUGUCGAGAGACAAAGUGAUAAAUUUUCAAGUCAUAAACUUAUAAAACUAAACUCAUUAUUUCUUAUAGGUGAAUUUUUUCCGGAAAAUAAAAUUAAUGCUAUCUUGUAGCAAAUUUUAAGGGCUUUCAGAUAAGCUCAAAAUAAAAUUUUUAUUUCACCCGUAAGGGGUCGAAAAUAUUUUUUUAAGACCUUUACCCCCGUUUUAAGUUGAUUUUUGGAUUUCGAGAUCUCGAUGAUGGGAAUACAUCAGAACUUCAUUUCUUUUUUAUUUCUUAUCUAUAUUGAUAGAUAUGUUCAGAAAAAUUUUUGU
rnacentral:rRNA from 1 species